UACGAAGGGGGCAAGCGUUGUUCGGAAUUAUUGGGCGUAAAGGGAGCGUAGGCGGUUCGGCAAGUCUUUAGUGAAAUCUCUGGGCUCAACUCAGAGUCUGCUGGGGAAACUGCCGGGCUGGAGUAUGGGAGAGGUGAGUGGAAUUCCUGGUGUAGCGGUGAAAUGCGUAGAUAUCAGGAGGAACACCUGUGGCGAAAGCGGCUCACUGGACCAUUACUGACGCUGAUGCACGAAAGCUAGGGGAGCAAACAGG
rnacentral:rRNA from 1 species